GAUGAAGAACGCAGCGAAAUGCGAUACGUAAUGUGAAUUGCAGAAUUCAGUGAAUCAUCGAAUCUUUGAACGCACAUUGCGCCUGCCAGCACUCUGGCAGGCAUGCCUGUUCGAGCGUCAUUUCAACCAUCAAGCCCUAGGCUUGCGUUGGAGCCCUGCGGCUGCCGCAGGCCCCUAAAAGCAGUGGCGGGCUCGCUAUCACACCGAGUGCAGUAGAUUACUCUUCGCUCAGGGCGUGUGGCGGGUUCCAGCCGUGAAACCCCCUACUUCCCAAGGUUGACCUCGGAUCAGGUAGGAAUACCCGCUGAACUUAAGCAUAUCAAUAAGCGGAGGA
rnacentral:misc_RNA from 1 species